AGUGAACGCUGGCGGUAGGCCUAACACAUGCAAGUCGAACGGCAGCACAGUAAGAGCUUGCUCUUACGGGUGGCGAGUGGCGGACGGGUGAGGAAUACAUCGGAAUCUACUUUUUCGUGGGGGAUAACGUAGGGAAACUUACGCUAAUACCGCAUACGACCUACGGGUGAAAGCAGGGGAUCUUUGGACCUUGCGCGAUUGAAUGAGCCGAUGUCGGAUUAGCUAGUUGGCGGGGUAAAGGCCCACCAAGGCGACGAUCCGUAGCUGGUCUGAGAGGAUGAUCAGCCCCACUGGAACUGAGACACGGUCCAGACUCCUACGGGAGGCAGCAGUGGGGAAUAUUGGACAAUAGGCGCAAGCCUGAUCCAGCCAUACCGCGUGGGUGAAGAAGGCCUUCGGGUUGUAAAGCCCUUUUGUUGGGAAAGAAAAGCAGCAGGUUAAUACCCCGCUGUUCUGACGGUACCCAAAGAAUAAGCACCGGCUAACUUCGUG
rnacentral:rRNA from 1 species